rnacentral:rRNA from 1 species
UACGGAGGGUGCAAGCGUUAUCCGGAUUUACUGGGUUUAAAGGGUGCGUAGGUGGUGAGGUAAGUCGGAUGUGAAAUCUCCGAGCUCAACUCGGAAAUGGCAUUGGAAACUACCUUGCUCGAGGGUUGGAGGGGGGACUGGAAUGCUUGGUGUAGCAGUGAAAUGCGUAGAUAUCAAGCGGAACACCAGUGGCGAAGGCGAGUCCCUGGACAACUCCUGACACUGAGGCACGAAAGCUAGGGGAGCAAACAGG